rnacentral:lncRNA from 1 species
UCAGGUUCAAGAGGGAAGAGGGAAGGUGGCAGAUUUGGUGAGGCCAAGACAAACCCUCAUUGCAGAAACGGGGUAGGGGGCGCUAGAGGCAGGAAGACCUCAAUCGGCAGCAUCUGACGCUACAACUGAGGGACCACAACCAAUUCCCCCACUAUCCCGGGAGUUGGGUGGCUCCUUGCCCCCAUUUUAUAUGGGGGGGGGGGGAACUGAGGCUUUAAGCGGGCUGAGCCAGCUUGUAGCCAGCACGCGGCAGCGCGGGGAUUCGGUCCUGGCUCCCCUGCACCGCCCUGGCCUCGUGCUCGGCGGUGGCGCUUGCCCAGGGGAGCGGGGGGGGGGGGGGGGGGGGGGGGGGGGGGACCGACCUUCCAGAAUUCCCAGCAAACCCUGGCAGGAGCUGCAGCAGGAAAACAAAGGGACGGCUCGCUUGCUGGCUGCAGAGGAGCGACUCGCCACCAGGGGGCAGCGCGCGCUGGCAGCCGCCCGGGGACCGCCUUUGUCCGGGCAGAAUUCUUUCGGAGCCGGCGUUGGAGCAGAGGCCGGCAGGCCGUUGCCCUUGGUGACGGCAGAGACAGUGUCAUUGGCCGGAGGGUGUUGAGACAGGGGCCGUUCCCGAAAGAGCCCCGGACCUGGAGCCUGCCCCCUUCCUCCAGCAACUCCAUUGCUUUCCACCUGCCGCCUUGUCUUCUCACCUGGACCUUUCCCUGUGACCUCUGGAGCUCUGGACACCAUGGGCCCUUGCCCCCUCUUUAGGAUUUCAGAAAGCUUCCUGGAACAUCCAAGACAGGCAGCUAUGCAAUGAAUCCAGUUUGGACACGGGUUUUAUUUGGCCUGCAUCUUUAAAAAAAUGUGCACCUGUACUGUGAAAAGAGGAGGUUGCGUGCAGAGAGCAGAGCUGCGGGCCGGGCCCUGAGCCAAGUGCUGGGAGUGCAGGGGGAGGAGGGCAGAGGCAGAGGCAGACCGAUGGCAGGCACCAAUGGCAGACCAAUGGCAAGCAUUGCACAACGAUGACAUUAUUGGAUGGUGAUAAGAGCCGUGGAGGAGCAUCAGCGAGACAGGGAGGUGGUGACCUUUUACUGGGUGCUCAGGGAGACUUCAGGGUUGGGGUGGAGGCCACCGGGGGAGGAGGGGGAAGCAUUCACCAGAGAAAGGACCUGGUCCUGGGAGACCAACGAGUGCUCAGCAUUUGCAGACCUGGAGCUCAGCACACAGGCCAGGUGGGCCACGGGAAGACUGAGACAGGUGGGGUCAGAGGACAGUCGUCUUGAAGGUCGUGGACUUUGUCAUCAAAGGGGCCAGGGGGCCAGAAGGUGGGGAAGAGUGUGUGGGUGUCGGUAAGACAUCACUGUUACUGAUUGGUUGCUACUGUUGUAACUGCUACCCUGACCAAGAAUGACGCCUGGGAGGUGGUCCAAAAGCAGCUUUAUUUUUGUCUCCUGCAUUAGCGGGGCAGUCCCUGUGCCUCUCUGGGCUGUUAGAGACAGACCUAAGCCACGUAAGUCCCCGGCUGCGAGCUCAGUUCUGGAACUAACGAUGGCUGCCCACCCAUGCCGCUCACCAGCAGCUGUUUUCAUAUCCUAGCAGGGGUGGAAGCAGGG